rnacentral:lncRNA from 1 species
GACGUUAUCUUGUACAUCUUUCGUAACUUAACCAAUGAUCUCAUAAUCAUAUUGGUUGAAUUAGUCUAUUACAGACUAUAAAAUUAUAAAUUUCCUUAACUUCAUCCCUGGAUCAUAACUUGAUCUCGAUCUCAUUCUUUUUACAAGUAUCAACUUGUAGUAAAUUUUUAACCUUGUGAUUUAAACAUUCUAUACUUCAAUAUAUCAAGUUUCAUAGUAUUAAUGAUAAGAUCGUUCUAGGCAACAGAGGGACGCAUUCCGGUAAUUUUGACAUCUUACCGACGCUCAUUAGUGUAACCUCAGUGCUUACAGAACUCCUAAU